GGCACAUCAGAGGAAAUGCAGCACAGAAAACUGUAACAAUGUUUUUUUAUAAAAAAAAUAAAUACAGAUCACUUACUUUGUUGAAGCUUUUUGUUACCACAUCAAAGCCUGUAGUUUUGAAAUAUAUGGGUUAAUGCUAAACCAUAGAUCAACAGCGUGAUCUUCAAAAUAAUUUCAAGUACCUCCAAUGUCAUUUCCCUUUCACCUCUUGGAGUUAGAAUAUUAUGUUAUGAUUUAAGCACAUCAUGGUUAAGAAAAUUGGCAACGGGGAUUUUUGUCAUUUUCUUUAGAAUUUAAAAGAUAAAAAGACUGAUAUUUGUAUUUAUGCAAGUGUCAGUGAUUACCAAGGGACAGUUUGGAGAACAAAGAAGAAGAAAGCAAGGAGGGAGAGGAAAACAUGAAACCAAAGCAGAAGGGUUUGGGAGGCAUGAGGACAGCCUGAAAGAGCACGUCAAAGCCAACAGAAGAGAGAAUCAGGUAUUCCUGGGAUUUUUCAAUUCUGUACCAUUGGUCAUAGGCCAAAGGCAGAACUAAAAGUAAUCAAGCCUCUUGUUUUCAUUCUGGGGCUUCAUUCUCUGGAUUGAACAGCUACAGGAAGCAAGGAAGUCUCAUCUGUCCAUUCAGCAGUUGCCGCUUUCCUAGACUGGCCAACCACUGUUUUUUUGGGACAACUGCAAUGACCUCUAAAUACACCUCCUGGCAUCUCUUGUUCUCCUCAAAUUUAUUUUUAUUUUCUUUAUUAUAGCCAGAACAGUAUUUUUUAGACCCAAAUGUGUCACUAGUUGCUUAAAACACCUCAAGGGUUUCCCACUUCCCAAAGAUAAAAGAUUAACUUCUUGGGACAA